rnacentral:tRNA from 1 species
GGAGAGGUGCUGGAGCGGUUGAACAGGCCGGUCUCGAAAACCGGAGUGGGGGCGACUCCACCGUGGGUUCGAAUCCCACCCUCUCCG